rnacentral:rRNA from 1 species
CCAAUAGCGUAUAUUAAAGUUGUUGCAGUUAAAAAGCUCGUAGUUGAAUUUCGGAAUCGACGGAUUGGUCGCGCCUUCGGUGUGUACUGGUCUUGCCGGUUUCUCCCUUCUGACGAACCACGAUGUCAUUAAUUUGGUGUCGUGGGAAAUCAGGACUGUUACUUUGAAAAAAUUAGAGUGUUUAAAGCAGGCAUUAGCUUGAAUACAUUGGCAUGGAAUAAUGAAAUAGGACGUUUGAUCUUAUUUUGUUGGUUUCUAGGAUCGACGUAAUGAUUAAUAGGGAUAGUUGGGGGCAUUAGUAUUCAAUUGUCAGAGGUGAAAUUCUUGGAUUUAUUGAAGACUAACUACUGCGAAAGCAUUUGCCAAGGAUGUUUUCAUUAAUCAAGAACGAAAGUUAGGGGAUCGAAGACGAUCAGAUACCGUCGUAGUCUUAACCAUAAACUAUGCCGACUAGGGAUCGGAUGAUGUUAAUUUUUUAAUGACUCAUUCGGCGCCUUACG